GAUGAACGCUGGCGGCGUGCCUAAUACAUGCAAGUCGAGCGAACGGACGAGAAGCUUGCUUCUCUGAUGUUAGCGGCGGACGGGUGAGUAACACGUGGAUAACCUACCUAUAAGACUGGGAUAACUUCGGGAAACCGGAGCUAAUACCGGAUAAUAUUUUGAACCGCAUGGUUCAAAAGUGAAAGACGGUCUUGCUGUCACUUAUAGAUGGAUCCGCGCUGCAUUAGCUAGUUGGUAAGGUAACGGCUUACCAAGGCAACGAUGCAUAGCCGACCUGAUAGGUGGAUCAGCAAAAAUGGAGCGGAGACAAGUUCCUGAAUCAGACGGGAGGCAGCGGUAGGGAAUAUUACGCAAUGUGGCGAAGCCUGACGUAGCCCCCCCGCGUGAGUGAUGACGAUCUUCGGAUCGUAAAACUCUGUUAUUAGGUAAGAACAUAUGUGUAAGUAACUGUUGACGUCUUGACGGUACCUAACCAGAAAGCCACGGCUAACUACGUG
rnacentral:rRNA from 1 species